rnacentral:rRNA from 1 species
GACGGAGGGGGCAAGCGUUGUUCGGAAUUAUUGGGCGUAAAGGGCUCGUAGGCGGACCGGUAAGUCUGAUGUGAAAUCUCCACUGCUCGACAGGGAGAGGUCAUUGGAUACUGCCAGUCUGGAGUGCGGCAGAGGACCAUGGAAUUCCAGGUGUAGCGGUGGGAAUGCGUAGAUAUCUGGAAGAACACCGGUGGCGAAGGCGGCUCUCUGGGUCGGACCUGACGCGUGAGG